CUCAGCUCCAGCUGCACUGCAUCUUCUGAACAUAUCCAUGAAAUGUUUGAUGUUGAAACGUGCAUCGUUGAAGAUGAAGAAAAAAUCAUCAACAACACGGCCGUCUCGUCGCAUUUUCUUAUCGUAGUCUCAUCGUAAAAGCGGCACGACUACCAGGACUUCACCGAGUCUACCAUGGAUACGUCUUCGACCUCCGGAAACGGCUGACAUCUGGUCGAUGCGCGAGCAGAGGAGCCCGCGAUGCGGUGAUAUUCAUGCACGAUGUUUAUACACGGCGUCCGUCUUCGGUUCCAUUAACGGCAGGCUUUCGGCGAGGUGAUUCAAGGAUAUAAAAAUCCGCCGUCGCUGGGCAUCGGGAAUACUCCAAGUCUGGGACCCGCAUUCCUAGAGACCGGGACUGGAUCGGAGGGCGAGUCGAAACCUGUCCGGCCUGGCACGAAUCCGUUUCGGGUUCUCCUCGGGUCACUCGUCCAGGAAGAAGAUGAUUCAUUGCGUCUGCGUACCGGCGCCAAAGACCUGCAAGGCUGCAUGUAACGACGAUCGCGUGUGCGGUGUACCUGCAGUUCGAAGCCUCGGACGUGCUCGGGGAAGUUGGUGUUCUGUUACCCCAGGGGUAAACCGGAGACCUCGAAUCGAACAACUUGCGUUACCAACUAGCCCAACACACCGGGAACGAUUCCCUGCAGCUGUCGGCCGAACCGGGAGAAAAAUCCCCGGUGUUUCAGAACGGCAGGGGUUCUAUGCGCACACAUUCCUACCUACGAGGCGCCGAUCUGUUGCAGCGAAGUAUGGAAAUCAGGAUCGUUGGAUUGGGUAUAAAAGCUGAAAGAAGGCAGGAAAAAUCUGUACGCACUGAAUAUCCGCUUGGUGGUAGACGGCGAGCCAGCAGCAGGAUCUGUAAAUCAUCGCUUUAUAACUUCGGUGUAAUUUUACUGUGAACAUUUUACUCGGCGUGCUGGAUUGAAUUUAUAAUUGCUCGAAUUUAUGACGUCCACCGAGAAGACACAGGGGGCCACUUACUGCUUGAGCAACAUCGGUUGAUCGAGGGUAAUUAUUAAUUUCAAACGAUCGAAACGUACAGCCCAAUAAUUUGUAAUCUCUACAUCCUGCGUUGAGUACUAUAAAUCCGUGAUGAAAUUUUCGGCACAGUUCGAUGAAAUUUUUCCGAAGUGUAUUACACGUGCGGUAGAGUAAUUUCAAUUGGGAUUUCGGAGAUACGGCACCGCUCACGUCUCUCCGCCUUUAUCGAAACUUUUUAUCGAAGCCGAGGGGAAUGAUUCGAA
rnacentral:lncRNA from 1 species